UACGUAGGAUGCAAGCGUUGUCCGGAUUUACUGGGCGUAAAGGGCGCGUAGGCGGAUAGUUUAGUCAGAGGUGAAAGCCCAGGGCUCAACCUUGGAACUGCCUUUGAUACUGGCUAUCUUGGAUGUCGGGAGAGGUGAGCGGAAUGCCGAGUGUAGAGGUGAAAUUCGUAGAUAUUCGGCGGAACACCGGUGGCGAAGGCGGCUCACUGGCCCGAUACUGACGCUGAGGCGCGAAAGCGUGGGGAGCAAACAGG
rnacentral:rRNA from 1 species